rnacentral:rRNA from 1 species
CCUACGGGUGGCAGCAGUGAGGAAUAUUGGUCAAUGGACGCAAGUCUGAACCAGCCAUGCCGCGUGCAGGAAGACGGCUCUAUGAGUUGUAAACUGCUUUUGUACGGGGGUAAACGCAGAUACGCGUAUCUUUCUGAAUGUAUCGUACGAAUAAGGAUCGGCUAACUCCGUGCCAGCAGCCGCGGUAAUACGGAGGAUUCAAGCGUUAUCCGGAUUUAUUGGGUUUAAAGGGAGCGUAGGCGGUCGGAUAAGUUAGAGGUGAAAUCCCGAGGCUCAACUUCGGAAUUGCAUCUGAUACUGGUCGGCUAGAGAGUAGUAGCGGUAGGCGGAAUGUAUGGUGUAGCGGUGAAAUGCUUAGAGAUCAUGCAGAACACCGAUUGCGAAGGCAGCUCAC